GCCACAGAUUACACUAAUCUGUAAAAGGCCAUGUACCAAAGGUAGGACGGACCGUCUACGUUGAUCCCUUCGGGGCCACCAGCAUUAAAAUUAAACAUUGUAUGGAUUCAACAAGGGCUUUCAUGCGGAAAAAGAUGGGGAACCUGUCACGGUGGCUGUGCGCCACAAUCCCUCGUCUCUGCCAGCAGGACACUACUUCUGUGGAGUUAUUGUGUGCAAAAUAGCAGAGCUGCUUUUGCUAGGUGCUAGCAUGGAGUUUGAGGUGGACGAGGUGGAGAUCAACUCCAUGCGCACAAUGGGCAGCAAUCUGAUACGCUUCAAUCAAUUAUUGGAUGUAGACCUCACCAAAACAUUUGCCUAUAGGCCUUCUUAAACCAUCGUGCAAUUUGAAAAUCGUGUAACAGAUGAACCGACAGAACUCAGUUGUUUUUUUUGUGGGGAGGAAGGCAUCACCUCAGAGGCACCUGUUGACCAUUGGGCAGUAGAGAAAAAAUAUCUAAUUGAUCUAUCUUCUUUCAGAUUGAAUGCACACAGUGUUCCUUAUGGUCUCACUGGGUGUGUGUGGGAAGGUGUGAAUAUCUUGCCUGCCAAUGAGCGGCACAGGAGGGUGUCAGGGAACCUUGAACUGCUGCCUUGCAUGGUUAUCACGUGUGCAUGAAUGAAUGGGUGACUGUCAGGCAGUUUGAUUUUUAUUCUUUUUUAUCUUAUCCUAGCUAUCAGUGUUCUAUGCAGGGAAUGGGUUAACCUAGCGAUUGUUAGUGCUUGGCACUUGGUUCUAUGAACACUGUCGUACAUACUGUACUGACAGUGCGGUAUGUUGUUUCUUUCUUCUAAGAAAUGUACUUAUUGUAAGUCACUUUUGAUAUAAGCAUCUGCUGAACCCAAUGAAUGCACGUGGCCACUCAGAAAAGCGCAAAUGCAAUCCAUCCUUUGUUCCAAAAUCAGUCUUACUCUGUUUGUUGGGAUUUGUGCCAUGUAUUAUGUGACUUAUCAAUGUGUUCAAAAAAUCUCUACUUCUAUAUCUGACACUGUAGAUAAUGAUUGUGUCAUACUUAUUUUAUUUUAACAAUAUGUGCCACUUUUGUGCUUGUAUACUUUACUAAAACAACAGAAGCCAGGGGCGUUGUCAUCCCUUGGACAACCUGUACGUAUGCUUUGUUGUUCUGAAUAAACUUUG
ensembl:lncRNA